AUACGUCCGCUACAUAGUUAUGUUAACGUACGUACCAAGCCUCCGUUUCCUCGAUCCAUCACAAUGCCGUAUAUAUAACGAACAGCUAGCUGCCGCUACAGUGGAAUGCAUGAGUGAUCGAUUAUAUAUACCAAAAUUAUUUCUAACACGCAAAAGCUAGCAAACUUAAUUUUGAAGCCUCAGUUAAAAGUUCAUUCACACAAUUAAUUAACCGCGCCAUAUAUACGAGCGAUUAAUUAGCUACUGAAGAGGAGAAAUUAAUGAUGCCAGCAUUCAUCAAAUUAAGUUGUGGCCAGUUUCUGCCUGAACAAUGAAUGACCAAUAAUAUUGCAUGGUUAGCUUCACCGUCGCACUGUACAUAUAUGCCAAGGCAAGGUAACUAGACAUAUAUAUAUCCUUCGAGAGAUCGAUCCAGCAAAUACAGUGGAUUUGUCUGCCGAGAUAAUGUACAGACGAAGCACCAGUAUCUUAUCUACUGCCUCUUUCGCUUCUCCUACCAACUGCCGAGAUAUGUUUGUGAGUAUCGUUAUCCAAUCAAUCGUCCCAUAUUCAAAUAUGUAUCUAUUCUAUUCCUACAUACGUCUUAGUUGAUACCAUCUCCUUAUUUAACAAGCGGUAUUCAAGUUAUUAUUUCUUCUCGAGAUAAUAUAUAUAUGUCCGAACGUGAAAAGCACAAGUUAACCAUGGUAGCAGCAGCAAGCUGGUGGUCUUGGUUAUUACAGGUGGACAUGUGUCCAGAAUGUGCGAAUGGCCGGAACAUUGCUGGUGCUGCUGGUUACUCCAUUCAAUUCAGAGAGUGUAAUCCAGUCGACGGUCGUCGUGGCGCUUCUUACACAUGCGUAUCUGAUUUUUUUUUUAUUCUUAUGCUUAUAAGCAAAAAUUUAUAUUUUAAUAAAUAAUAAAUUUAUAAUUGAUUUUGGAACUUAUUUAUUAUAUUUUAUUUUCUAGUACUUCUUUUAUAUCACUAUAAACAUGCUUAUAAAUAUUUUAUUUAUAUAUUAUUUUUUGUGUGUAAAUAUGAUGUUUGUCUAUUUCUUAAAAAUAACUAAAAAUGAACCCAAGGUCGCGAUGCGAUCACCGAUCGAAUGCGGACGCUGUCUGCUAUCAAUCUCGGAGGUAGCUAGCUAACCGACGAAGAAGAAGCGAAUCAAUUAUGCAUAUGCAAAUGUUGCCACUUGGCAUAACAAGAUCGAACGGCCGGCGAUGUAGAUCCAUCGUUCGCAAUAUUUUUUUUUUCUGAAAUUAGCUGAGUACUAAGUUAUUAGCGGUUACUAAUUGAGCAGAAAUCGAGAGAGAGAGAGAGAGAGCUAGUAUUAUAUUUUUAGAACAAAUGUGGAUAAUGGGUAGCAGUUGGAAAUAAAUGGUGUUAGGUUAUGUUGUUUUCAGCCUAACGUGAGAACAUGUGCCUAUGCUUAGGCCACAUUUGUCAAAUUUCAUUUCAUUUGCUUGUAGAGAGAUCAGAGAUGACCAUGGGCAACGAAGUUAAUUAAG
rnacentral:lncRNA from 1 species